UAACAAUUAUUUUUGUGAUGAUAUGUUAUGUAAGCUCCCUGGAUCACUUCAACCUAGAGAAAGCAUCAUCGUUAAUCUAACUAUUGUCAUGAAUAUUAAAGAUCUCCCCUUCAAGGAUCAUGAUGUAAUGAAAUAUAUGACCACGGCAACCGUUCUACAGCCCAGUCAUUUACUAUUUCUACCUUGGAAUGAAGAUAAAGAAGGACAGGUAUCGACCCCGAUAUUUAAAGAAUAUGGUAGUGCUGGUGUAAAUAUAUGGAUACCAAUCGGUAGUGUUAUAGGAGCUUUGUGUCUACUUGUUUUAUUGGCCAUUAUUCUUAGAAAGUGUGGGUUCUUUAAGAGGAAAAAGAAAGAUGCUCUACAGAAGUGGAAGAGAGAAAGUGGAUAUUACAAGAGAACGAGUUCUAGAAACCCUAACAACCAAACUUCAUAAAUAACAUUCUAGUGUAUUUAAUGUUUGAAUCAUCCAAAUUUUGAAUACAACAUUAAAUUCAUUUCAUGUUUGUGUAAAACUGCAAGCUCAUUUUCUAGAUAAUAUUAAAUUCACUGAUAAAUUUAUAAAUACUUAAAAGUUUAAACAGCCCACAGAAGACACCACUCUUAGUCUGCUGAGGGUAUUUACGUCUGAUUACGAGAUUAGUAGUUUGUGUUUCGACAAUUUAUAGAUAUAAGAUAAGUAGGUCCAAGUUUUUGUAUCAAUGCGCGAGGAGAUACAUUUUAAUUGGGAUAUAAACUAAUAUUUUAUAUUUUAUACCACUGGUAAUAAUCAAUAGACAAAACAUGAAAUAUAAAGAUGGCAGUAUUGUGGUUAUACUUGUAUAUCAAAUUUAAAUACAUUACUUAAGCAUCCAUAAUUUUAAAUACAUUACUUAAGCAUCCAUAAAUUUAAAUACAUUACUUAAGCAUCCAUAUUUAAAUACAUUACUUAAGCAUCCAUAAAUUUAAAUACAUUACUUAAGCAUCCAUAAAUUUAAAUACAUUACUUAAGCAUCCAUAUUUAAAUACAUUACUUAAGCAUCCAUAAAUUUAAAUACAUUACUUAAGCAUCAAUAUUUAAAUACAUUACUUAAGCAUCCAUGCAUAUCAAAUAUAAAUAAUUCAAACAUUCAUGAUAAAUAAAUUACACAUUUAUGUAUACCGGAUAUAAAUGAAUUAAACAUACAUGUAUAGCAAAUAUAAAUAAAUUAAACAUGCAUGUAUAUCAAAUCAACUAAAGUUACAUGUAAAUUAUAUAUAUACAUAAAUUAAACAUACAGGUGUAUCAAAUAUAAUUAAAUUAAACAUCCAUGGUACAAGAUAUAAAUUACUCAUAAUUAUAUAUGUUAUAAUAUAUACAUAAAUUACACAUAUGUAUGUUAUAAUAUAUACAUAAAUUACACAUAUGCAUGCAUAUUAAAUACAAAUCAAUUUAAACAUCCAUUUAUAUAAAAUAAAAACUUUGACUCGUCUUGUUCAUCACGGUUUAUAAAUAUCCACUAAACCACAAGGACCUGUAAAAUAACCACUACCUUAUUUGCAUUUGAUUAUCUCCCUUAUAUAAAUAUGCUAAAAACUAAAGGCAUAAUACAGAGUUAUAUAAAUGUUUAAUAUCACGUCUUCAUGUUUUAAUAAAAGCAAGAAGGUUUUAAAAUUUACUUUGUUAUAAUAUACCGCUUUUUUUUCUUAAAUGUAUAUAUAUCUAAUAAGAUGUAAAUAAUGAUAGUUUUUGUAAUUUUAUGUUUUUUUUAUAUUUUAUAAUGCAUGUGGUCGACGUAAUUAAAGCAAAAUAUUAUAUUUUAAAACUAAUAUAUCAAAUAUAAAUAAAAUACUCAUACGUGUAUAUCAAUUUUAACUAAAUUAACCAUCUAUGUGUAUCAAAUAUACUUAAAUUAAACAUCCAUAUAUAUCAAAUACACUUAAAAUAUAAAUAUAAAUAAAUCAAACAUCCAUGUAUAUCAAAUAUAAUUAAAUUCAACAUACAUGAAUAUGAAAUAUAAAUAAAUCAAACAUACAUGUAUACCAAAAUAAAAUAUACUGUUAAAUACUUUUCAAAGAGGCAUUAUCUAAGAAAUAAAUCUGAUUUUUUACGUCACAUGCUCAGUCCAUAAUAAACUCGCAUGACCAACGGGUGGCUUAGAUAUUGGGCUGGAAGUACAAUCCCCGCCAAAUAGUCGUUACACGAUAACAUGGACACUACUCACGGACAUUGUCGAUUGAAAAAUUGGAAAUCGGGACUUCGUUUAUUAUUGUGGCAUUGGUUCCUGACAAUCAAGACUGUUAUGCAUUUUCUUACCAACGCUUUCAAUCAUUCAAUACUUUGUUCAGAAUAAAGCAAUUUGGGCGCUUUGGGUUCAUUUUGAAUAUGAUCGUGUAUAAAAUUAGUUACGUUUAUUUCUUGUUAAAUAUGAUAAUUCCGCAUUAAAUAUUUUAACAGUAUUUUAAAGAUGGGUUCCCGCGUACAAACUGGGUGAUUUAAUGGUUUAAAUGGGCUAAAAACAUAUUUAAACUAAUUAAUUUGUCAUAACUUUGCUUCAAAUACUUCUGAAACAUUGUAAUUGCGAAGGAAUGUCCUGCCAUAAAAAUUCGACCAAACCAGGUCAUGUUUACGUCACGCGACUUACCUCUCUUGGAAGUCAGAGGAGAAUUUGUUGCAUACAUAAGACGAUGCUGUCUUUAAUCGCUUACUUUUUAUUACAAAUAUCGAAUCCUAAUUAAAUUCUCAGAUUAUCCACUACCCGCGUCUUUUUCCGUCAUUUUUAUCUCAGAAAGUGUUGUACGUCUAACUCUUCAUAAAGUUUAUCAACUUGUACAUCAAGCGCUCAAAGUUCGCAUGCAUGACCUUUGACAUGACAUUGAAAAAUGUUUAUUCACAAAUUUUUUAAAUACAAUAUCAUAUACAAUACAUAUAUGCAUUAGACUGUAUUCAUAUAUACAUUAAUAUACAACAUUGUGAAAUUGUUAAAAAGGAUUGAAAAUUGCGUAUGUACAUUUGAAAUAAAAACUUUUUUUUUUUUUUUUUUUUUUUUUUUAAGUCAAUGCUUAUCUCACCAUUUAAUCCUUGUUUAAUAAGAAAGGGUGGCUUAAUCGUCGGACUGUUGAUUAGGGAAACCCUUACAUUUUUGUGUCCUGUAUACGCUCUAUGAGUGUUUUUCGGUGAGAGAGAGAGAAAUGGGGUUUAACGUCCACUCGACACAAACUAGGUCAUUUCGGGACUAACAUAUGGUUUUUAAUUUUAUUUCAAUAAUUCGCUUGCGCGUAGGGGUCUUUAGCAGUGGGAGGAAACCGGAGGACCCGGAGAAAACCCACGAGGUUGGACAGGCGACCCUACACCUUGUCACGUACAACCGGGGAUUCGAAACCACGCCAGUUGACUCAAUGACAGGCCUUAUGAUACAGCACGCACGUGCUAACCAUUCGGCCACCCAACCCCCCGUUUGUCGGGGAAUCCAGUAUUUUUCUAGUAAAAUUGGAUAUCUCUGCUUUCCAUAUAUGCCAAAAUUGCCAUACUUUUAUUUGAAAUAACCACCCGAUAAAUACUUUUCUGGGAACCCAUCUUUAAACAGUAUUACAUCAACUAAACUAUAACAUUUAUGUAAUUGUUUCCUGUUCAUGUUUAAUUCUAGAUUUAUAUAACAAUGUUUAAUUCUAGAUUUAUAUAACAAUGUUUAAUUAUAGUUUUUUAUAACAAUGUUUAAUUCUAGAUUUAUAUAACAAUGUUUAAUUCUAGAUUUAUAUAUCAAUGUUUAAUUAUAAAAGCCGAUCAUGUAAUAAAAGGUGUAUUUCGCCAA